rnacentral:tRNA from 1 species
GGGAAGGGUGCCGCGUGGGUCAGAAGGCGGUCGUUACCAUUGACGCGUGAGGAGGGGCGGGUUUGAAACCCGCCCCUCCCG